ACAUGCCUACAACACAACAUCAAUGCAUCAUAUCCCAUUAGAAAUUUGCAUUUAAGCGUGCAUGGGAUAGAGCAGUACUGGGAUGGGUGGCUGCCUGGGAAGUCCUAGUAUUUUGCAUGCC
rnacentral:rRNA from 1 species